rnacentral:rRNA from 1 species
GGGGCCCGCACAAGCGGUGGAGCAUGUGGUUUAAUUCGACGCAACGCGAAGAACCUUACCAGGGCUUGACAUCCCCUGACCGCGUAUGAAAGUACGUUUUCACCCUCGGGUGACAGGGAGACAGGUGGUGCAUGGUUGUCGUCAGCUCGUGUCGUGAGAUGUUGGGUUAAGUCCCGCAACGAGCGCAACCCCUACGUUUAGUUGCUAACGCGUGAAGGCGAGCACUCUAGACGAACUGCCGUUGACAAAACGGAGGAAGGUGGGGAUGACGUCAAAUCAUCAUGCCCCUUAUGUUCUGGGCUACACACGUGCUACAAUGGCCGGUACAGACGGACGCAAAGCCGCGAGGUGGAGCAAAUCCUAAAAAGCCGGUCUCAGUUCGGAUUGCAGGCUGCAAUUCGCCUGCAUGAAGUCGGAAUCGCUAGUAAUCGCAGGUCAGCAUACUGCGGUGAAUACGUUCCCGGGUCUU